rnacentral:rRNA from 1 species
CUGAUCCAGCCAUGCCGCGUGAGUGAAGAAGGCCUUCGGGUUGUAAAGCUCUUUCAGACGGAAAGAAAACUUCGAGGCUAAUACCUUCGGAGGAUGACGGUACCGUAAGAAGAAGCACCGGCUAACUACGUGCCAGCAGCCGCGGUAAUACGUAGGGUGCGAGCGUUAAUCGGAAUUACUGGGCGUAAAGCGUGCGCAGGCGGUUUUGUAAGACAGCUGUGAAAUCCCCGGGCUCAACCUGGGAACUGCGGUUGUGACUGCAAGACUUGAGUACGGCAGAGGGGGGUGGAAUUCCUGGUGUAGCAGUGAAAUGCGUAGAUAUCAGGAGGAACACCGAUGGCGAAGGCAGCCCCCUGGGCCUGUACUGACGCUCAUGCACGAAAGCGUGGGGAGCAAACAGGAUUAGAUACCCUGGUAGUCCACGCCCUAAACGAUGUCGACUAGUUGUUCGGAGGGUAAAACCUUUGAGUAACGUAGCUAACGCGUGAAGUCGACCGCCUGGGGAGUACGGCCGCAAGGUUAAAACUCAAAGGAAUUGACGGGGACCCGCACAAGCGGUGGAUGAUGUGGAUUAAUUCGAUGCAACGCGAAAAACCUUACCUACCCUUGACAUGUCAGGAACUUUCCAGAGAUGGAUUGGUGCCCGAAAGGGAACCUGAACACAGGUGCUGCAUGGCUGUCGUCAGCUCGUGUCGAGAGAAGUUGGGUUAAGUCCCGCAAC